rnacentral:rRNA from 1 species
GAAAGGACCGACCUUCGGGAGCCUAUACAGGUGUUGCAUGGCUGUCGUCAGCUCGUGUCGUGAGAUGUUCGGUUAAGUCCGCUAACGAGCGCAACCCUCGUCGUAUGUUAUAUGUGUCAUACGAGACUGCCGGUAAAAAGCCGGAGGAAGGUGAGGAUGAUGUCAAGUCAGCAUGACCUUUAUAUCCAGGGCUACACACACGCUACAAUGGUCUGUACAAUGGGUAGCCAAGCCGCGAGGCGGAGCCAAUCCUGAAAGCAGGCCUCAGUUCAGACUGCAGUCUGCAACUCGACUGCAUGAAGCCGGAGUCGCUAGUAAUCGUGGAUCAGCAUGCCACGGUGAAUACGUUCCCGGGCCUU